CGGAGAUGAGCACCGCCCCCUAGAGUCAGGCACAACUGGACUUAACGUCAAGGGGAAACCUUUACCUUUUAUACAUGUCAAGCUUAAAAGUCCUUGGUGUUAGCAUGCUCUGAAUUGGCGCGAUUCCUAACGACGUUAGGAUUUAAAAUUGUCUUUGAAAAUCUUUGCAACUCUUAUUCCCAGGUACAAAGAGAAAUGUUAAGGUUGCGGUAAGCUGUUGCUAUUUGAGGGUUUUCUUAACCAGUGGAACAUGGUUGCCCUUUUGUGCAAGAAGCAAGUCACCCGAUUCGGACUUCAUUGGAGAAAAGAUUCCGUUGUUCCUAAAACCUAUCGCAGUAGAAUGCUCGCUUUUUAAGCAGUUUAUCAAUGCAAUCCUCUUGUGAAAACGCGCGUGCUUUUCGUCCGCUGAAAGGCGUGGUGUGGUGGCGGAGCUUCUCCAUGCAGAAGAGCGGCUGCUGCGGGUGCCGUUGCGAGAGAGGCACGGGGCUGCUGGGUGGUGCACGACGUCACAGGAAGAUCCCCAAGCGGCCCCGCAGCCCACAAAACUCCUUCACGAAAUGGAGCCGGUGUGGGUGGGAGAAGCCCCAGCACACAUCACCUGAAGUUUCAUCACGGAGGGAAAGCCUCGCAAGGUGUUGAAGGCAUCGGAAGGGGGAAUCACACACAUUCCAGUGUGUGGAUGUGAACUUUUAAAGAGGCACUCGUUUCAAGACAUGUGCACUGGUAGUCCUUCGCCCGGAAAACCAAGUGCGGAAACGGCAGCACAGAGAGCAAAAACAUGGUUUGUUUCCAGCCACCUUGCCUCUGGCAGAAAUUUAGGAAGGAACAUGGUUUGGUGACUUUCUUCGUGACGAAAUAAAAAUGUCCACGAGUAAGGCUACAGACCGGCCUCCGGGCAACCCUCUCCACCUGGCAUGCUUUUCCACAGCGGUGGAGCUGGCCCUCCCGCGACGGCGGCCGCGUGACACUAGUUCCUCUGUGAUAAGAGUAAGGAGUAUGUAAAAGGCAAGAGUCCCAUACGACACGUUCAGUUCAGCCAUAGAGUACCAGAAGCAGUUCGGGAAGCACGGACACCCACUUACAGGCCGGAGACCAUCACGCGAAAGGAUGGCGGCACGUGUCUGUGCCGUGGGCUGGCGCCGGGACUCACGCACGGGCUGGUGCAAGUGGCAUCCACCCCUCCUAUCGACGGCAGGUAGGCAUGGUGAAGGAUCGGCAGCUGCAAGGAGAGCCGGCGCUGUAUGCUGUGGAGGCAGAAGGGGAGGAGGCAGGAGAGCGAGGAAGGAGGCGCCCCGGACCGCCCCCGAGGCAUCCUUGCACCUCACGCCCUACAAACCCCGAACGAGGCCGGCGGCUGACCUGGCAGAGGAGGCUGCUCCCUGCCGGAGUGCGCUGGCUCCUAGGUCAGCCUUCCUCUGCCGAUACGCAGCUUUGCUCUUCUGCUUGCUUCACUUGUGCUCAUUUUCAGAGCCAAGGAAGUAACUGCCUGCCGGUUUCCCAGCGGGAUGGGCGAGGUCAGCGCCAUGAAUGCUGGGGCAGGAUUAUGUAACAAAUGACCAGGGAAAGACCACCUCGCUUGGUGAUGGGGCACUGUUGGUGUCACCGCCCAGGGCAGAAAAGUCAAGCCACAAGAAAAAGCCAUCUACUUACUGUUCUGGGGAGUUGAUAUCUUCUAUGAAGUCUUUGCUUGUUCUGGAGGACUCUGUAGUAUUCCAUUGUGCUUGAGGGUUUUGAUCAAGGUGGGUUUUCAAUACAGUCUUUUCGCCAUCUAGGCAAAAGAACAUUAUUCAGACAAGUUGAGAAUGCAUUUUGGAAGUUACACUUGAUCUGCAAAAAACCAGGAGCCAUUUAACGGUCGGUAGUGUUUCUGAGUUAAUCAUUUGUUCUGGAAUGUGUGGGUCACCAAUGAGCCACCAAGGCUCCUACCGCAGCUGAAGAGGAAACAUGUUUUUAAAAUUACUGUUUUAUUUUUUAAUGAAAAGACACAUACAAAAAUUGAACAAGGAAGGAAGAAAUCCAAAGCCAAAUCUAAGAACCAAACAAAGCAUAACAAGAAACGUGCGCGGUGGGGACACGGAGAGGGUUACAACAGAAGAACCUAAUCCACAAGCAAUUGCAAUCUGUCAGUUCCAGUCAUUAAAAUGCCUUGCAGGCACCUCUAGAAAUGGCCAUCUUUAGGGGUAUUUCUUCUUUAUUGUUAUUUUUUAUGUUUUUGCAAACUAAAAAGAAACGAAGACAAAUGAGGAGUGAUGAAAAGAAAAUGUUACCAAGAGACCUUGUCCAAAAAUUACAAGCUAUUUCUUCUUUAAGCUGUUUUUGGAAAUGAAACUUUUUGCAGUAGAAAUACGAGCAGCUUUUCAAUGGAAGACAUUCAUUUUUGCAGAAAUUAACAAACUGGUUGUUUCAGGGCACAGUCUGUGGCGUAGAGAUGGCUGUCUGGCCAGCUACAGGAAAAGCAGAGCUCCCCCCACCCCCUAUGAUUCCAGAAAAUCCCUAAGGUUGCAGGCUUUUCCAGAACUGUCCCUGGAAGAGUGCUGGGCAGGGUGAGGGUCCUGAAGGGGCGAUGCUCCGGUGGGCAAGGGGAGGACAGAGUCAGCCGCCCUCUUUUUGGCACUCCUGCCUUCCAAGGGAUGCUGCCAUCUUCCAACUCUGGAAGGCAACCUUAAACAUCUUGCAAGUAAUUGAGAAGAACAGCAAAAGCUUCAUCAGGGGUCACCAUGACCCCAGCUGUUCAUUAAAUAGUAUCUUUUUAUUUGCUACCCAUCCUUCUGAGCCUUGCAACACAAUUGCUGGAGCACCCUUGUGUUUACUCUUUUCCUAACAACAACUUUCGAGCUGAUCAGACAAGCUUCCUUUGGUAAGAAGUUCUGUAGGUAGGAGUGGUAUCACUUAUUUUCCGUUCUGCCUUCCUAACCAGUUGGGUUUUCUACCAGACACACAGCUGGGAAAGCAGUUCUCUGGGUGAACAGGCAGAGAUCCGAUUUCUUGCACGCAGCAAUGUGCAAAAGUUCACCACUUCCAGCAUUUCCAAAGUACAAAGUGAAUGUGGCAACUGUAACACAAGCAAAGCAUUCCUGUAGGCCGGGAGAAUCCAAGCCAGAGGGUCGUCUGUUUUGCAUUUCUUCCUGAGCUUGUACUAAGAGGUGUGGAGGCAUUUGGCAGGAGUUUUUCCCUCCUCUUUUCAGUUCUGGGAGCGCUUUCUUUAUUCCAUUGGGAGGGAAUUAAACUGCAUCAGCUUCCGAGUUGCCUAGUUUCAUUUCCCUGUGCUCUGGAAGCAUGUAGUGAGGACAGGAGAGCUUUGGAUCCUGCUAAUCUACAGCUCCUCCUGAAAUGAAAGGCCCUAUUAAACUAGAGUUAGGCUGAGCAGCCCUUUAAAAAGAGCCCUUUCAAAACUUCCAUUUGCCAGCCCUUCAAAGAGAGGACUGUCCGCCAUCUUGCCCCUGCCUGCCUUUCAUGUUGUGCCUCUCCCUGGGGAAGCUGCAAUUCCCGACUUGGAAUUCAAUCCACCUCCGGAUCUUUUCCCCCUAAACUCCUCUGUUGCCCCGCAAAGUGACAAUCCGGAUCCUUCUGCCAACAACUGAUUCACAUUCAUUCUCUCCCUUCCAGAAGAAAGCGACUGAAUUAUCGAAGAGCCAAAGUUUUCGAAGUCAGAUGUAUGCUCUGAAACCCUGGUUCGGUUCCAGAUCCCUCAGAUCAAACAGAAUCUGCUUACAAGACUCUGUUGACUUCGCUGCUCCCAGCGGCUUCAAAAUUACCCCUUUCGCAGGCAACGGCCGUUGCUGCUACCUCGGCAGAGGGCCCCUCCCUUCCCUUCUGCCUGUCCUCGUGCACUGGAGUGGCGAGGGCUUUUCAGUCAGCCAGCCAGAGGGUUUUCCGAGAGCUCACGCCGUGUGCACACAGGAAAGGGGGGGCUGCGCUGGGGUGCCCGCUGCACCAGACAAAACCACUUAAGGAUUGGAGGCACAUUUUGGCACACGACUCAGUGACCACAGGAGUGGCCUAAUUCUAGUACUGUACCUGGAGGCUUUUCCCAGUCUCGUGAACGGCAGCCUUGCAUUUCAGAUUUAUUUAAGCAAAAUCCCUGUCCUUUGCCUUGAACCUGCCUCCUCCCACCACCUCCUUCCUGCAAAAGGAGGAGCUGCAGCCUUACCUUCCCCCACUGCAAGCUCCUCCUCCCUAUCUUGCCCCGCCCCCUUGCAGCUCCCUCCCCUCAGUGCCUCUGCUGUUUGUGCCCACCUGCCCUGUAAGCCCCGGAGUGACUUGGUCAUGACACAAGUAGAAACCUUGAGCUGAGUCACUCGUUCUUUGCUCCAGAGUUGAGUCUGAGUCGAGUCGCUUCUGCGACUUGAGUUGGACUUGGGAACGAGUCAUUCAACUCGAGCCGCCAACACUGGAACAAGGUAGAGCAAGUUUUGAAGGCGGAGAAGGGGCCCAGUUCAGAAACCUUUGAGACGCACUGCCCUAAUGGAUCGCUUUCACAUGCAUGCCAUAACACAUCCUACGUAUCGCAUUAAUUUGCACAUGGUCACGUUGCAUGUCGAAGCGGUGAUAUCACAAACGGUACAUCAGCAGCUGUCCUUUCACACAAAAGAGGCAAAGGGGCAACCGAGUUUGCAACACCAAAUCCUUCCCAAGCUCCAUACCUUUGUUUUCUGUAAAGUUGCGUAUACUGAGAAUAUCGUUAAGCUCCUGAUAAUGAUUCUGUUUAAUAUACGUUGUC